UAGUACUAGAAAAACAAACUUUUUUUUUUUUUUUUUACAAAUCACCAAUAGUCUCUGUUUAUCAUAAAAAAAGAAUUAGGUCAACUACUCAGGAUACUCCUAAAAAGUUUAAUGGUAAUGCUGAGCAUAGACCAUAUAUUGCUAAGUAGGGGUGUAUGUGAAUUAAAGCCAACAUUUUGCAGUAUUAUUAAGAGCCGCAUGCGUGAGUUUGUUCAGUAUUUUCAAAUAUUUUAAAUGUUUAGUAUUUCUCCACAUGAAGAAGACUUACAUAGAGUAUGAGUUCUGUUUAAAGGGAUGUAUGAGGUUGGAAGGGACCCCCAUAGUUUAAAUACAUUAUUAUGAUGCUGCAAAUAAGCAUGUAAAAAAAAAAGAAACUCAACUGUAAAACGCCUUCUCCUACUAAUCCACAGGCGAGCAGCAGCAGAUAUAUCUUUAAAGUUCAGAAAUAAGCUCAACCAAUCAGAAAAUUAUUAUUAUUCUCUCUGGGGUCUGUGGUUAUGCCAUAAACCCUCUGUUCAACCCUAUGUUACUUUUGGAACAUGUCGUUCAGCCCCCAGGGAUGAUGAGUUUACCUAAUAAAAAUAUUAUUGCAGUCAAAUUGCUAAAUUCAGUCAAAUUAAAUUGCCAUCUGUUGUUUCAUGGCCCCAUCCAGAGUUUGUAAAUGUGGCUGUGGGCAAUAGACUUGUGCAUUCG